CUUUCCAAAGCUCUCUUUGCCCAUCUUGACCAAUCGCCAUCCCUCUCUUCUUCAAGCUCCAUGGUUGUACUAGAUCUGUGCUUCAUUUCCAUGUUGAGAUAUUUUGAAUCCAUCAGAAUAUCUCACACCACUCAGAUAAUAAAGACCAGAACUCAAGAACACCAAGAACACUCAAGACCCUCAAGAACACUCAAGAACACCCAGAUUUUAUGAAAACGAAAUCACACUCGCCCUCCCCCCCUUUUAGCAACCUGGCUCUGAUACCAUAUACAAUUUUGUGUAUUAGAGCAUGAUUCAACCAAUCAGGGAUAAUCAGAUGAAAAGAUUAAAGAUAUUAAGAGAUUCUAGUGAGAGAAUAAAGA